UGUGUCUUCACCCCAGAGAGGCAACAGCUAGGGAGCUGAAAGCCAAGACUUUGCUGAACCACUGAAGAGAAAUGCAGAAAUAUUGCACAGGGUGACAGUGCAGGCUUCCUCACACAGCUAUGCCAGUGUGCCUCAACCCUGUACGGAUCACUUCUAAAGUUCACUACAGUCUGUCUGCAAUUUGAACAUCAUCUGAGAUAAGAGUGAAGG